UGGAUCCCAGUUACAGUGAACGCAUCUCAAUAUAUAGUUCAUCGUACAAAGACAGAAGCAUAAUCUCUACAAACACAUUUCAAUACUCAUAUAAAAACACUAGCAAAAGGCAGGAACAAGAGAUUGCAAACGUCAACGGACUCUUACGGAUAACUUACACAUGAAUUACAAUAUAAAGAUUUAUGAUGAAGCAUAAUAAUUACUGAAGUAUUGAUAUUUAUUGUUGUCUAUUUGGUAUGAGCAUUAAAACAAAGUAAUACAUGUAUUAUUAUAAUUCGAUUCAGUAUAUAAUAUUUAAGUAGUCAUGGAAAUUAGCCAUUUCACAUGUAUUAUUAUUUCAAAUUUGCUUUAGUAUACUAUUUUUAAGAUGAAAACUAGUCAUUUCACAUGGAACAGUGAAACUUUUGAGUUGAGUAUACUAUAUUUAAGUUGUUCAUAAUGUUAGAGUGGGUACAAAGUCCCACAUUGGUUGAGGAAUGGACUGGUAGUUUGCUUAUAUGGAUUUGGGUAAUCCUCACCUUCUGAGCUAGCGUUUGAGGUUGAGUUAGGCCCAAGGUCCAUUUUUUACAUGGUAUCAGAGUCAGGUCCAUCCCCGUUUUGGAGGCCCUGGGCGUGAGCGGGGGUGGUCCAUCCCCAUUUUGGGCUCCCGAUCCACGAGCCAGGCGCCAGUUGGGCCCUGGGCAUGAGCGGGUGUGUCAGGUCCAUUCUUGACACAUAAGACCCAAAUCUUUUAUCUUACUCAUAGAGAGUUGGAUUGGAUAAUCUUGGAAUAGGUACAGCCACCAGAGGCCUUUUCUUCAUCAAAACAAUACCAAAUUUCCCUGUAAGGUCUAACGUCUCUCCUUCGGGCAACUUGCAGUCGAGAGAAUGAAUAAAUGAAACCACUGAAUACAUGAACAUCCUCUCUGCCAUGGCUGUCCCCACACAAAUUCUUCUGCCAGAACCAAAUGGAAAAUAGUUGAAAUCAUUUCCUCUAUAAUCCCAUUUAAUCUCUCUGGAUGGAACUCGGUUUUUUCCAGAUUGAAGGAUCUGUCUGUAUGGCCCAUAUGUUUAUGAACACACGAGAUUCUUUAGGAACAGUGUAUCCUCCCUCAGUACCUGUCUAACUAGGACAAUGAGCAACCAUGAGUGGGAGCUCUGGAUGUAGACGCAAGACUUCUUUCAUAACUGCAUAGAAAUAUGGUAACUGUUGAAUAUGAGACUCUUCAACAAUAUUAUCUUUUCCCACAACUGUCUCUAGUUCUUCUUGUAAUUUCCUCAGGAUGCCUGGUUUGUUCAUAAUUUCAGCCAUGGAAAACUCUACUGUCUUGGACGUUGUGUCAGUUCCACCAAUAACCAUAUCCUGUCCAUGGUAUUUGUGAAGUUGUUAUCAUGUACAACAACUUUUUAUUUGUAGAACGGUGUUCCAAACUAUUUCCCAUAUCCUUGAAUGGUCCUUUCUGAUUGCCCGUCUAUUGGCAGGUGGAAAAUCAUGCUAAGAUUAACCUGUGUGCCCAAAUCUUAUAUCUGGAACAACUGCUAGAAUUGGGUGGCAUACUGUGCACACCGAAUUGCAGGCUUCAUAUUCUUGAAGUGUACCAACUGUAUAGAAACCGUUGAACUAAUUUAAAAUGGAUCCGAGUUACAAGGAACACAUCUCAAUAUAUAGUUCAUUGUGCAAAAGACAUAAGCAUAAUUACUACAAAAGCAUUUCAGUACUCAUCUAAGAAGGAAGCAGGAGAUAGCAAACACCAAUGAGAAUAGUUACAAGCAUCUAUGCUCAUUAAACCAUACUCUUAAGGGAUAACUUACACACGAAUUAAAAUAUAAAGAUUUAUUGUGAAGCAUAAUAAUUACUGCAGCAUUGAUAUCUGUUACAAUUUGGUUCAUUGCAUUAAUACUUGUACUAUUAAUUAAAAUUCGUAUCAGUAUACGGUAUUUAAGUAGUCAUGGAUAUUAGCCUUUUCACAUGAAACAGCUGGACUUUGAGUUGUUCAUAAGACAAUUGCUAGGGUAGAGCAACAUCUUUUAUCUUACUCAUAUAGUGUUGGAUUAGAUAAUCUUGGAAUAGGUACAGCCACCAGAGGCCUUUUCUUCUUCAUAAUAGCACCAAACUUCUCUGAAAGGUCUAAUGUCUCUCCUUCGAGCAACUUCCAAUCGAAAGAAUGAAUGAGUGAAGCCAGUGAAUACAUGAACAUCCUCUCUGCCAUGGCUGUCCCGGCACACAUUCUUCUUCCUGAACCAAAUGGCAAAUAGUUGAAAUCUUUUCCACUAUAAUCCCAUUUACUGUCCACAAAUCUUUCCGGAUGGAACUCAGAUGGAUUUUCCCAAAUAGAAGGAUCUCUCUGUAUAGCCCAUACAUUUACAAGAACACUAGAUCCUUUAGGAACAGUGUAUCCUCCCACAAUGCAUGUUUCACUAGGACAACGUGACACCAAGAGUGGAAGAAUUGGAUGUAUUCGCAAGACUUCUUUCAUAACUGCAUAAAGAUAUGGUAAUUGUCGAAUAUGAGACUCUUCCACAAUAUUAUCUUUUCCCACAACUAUCUCUAGUUCUUGCUGUAAUUUCCUCAGCACGUCUGGUUUGUUCAUAAUUUCAGCCAUGGCAAACUCAACAGUGUUGGAGGUUGUGUCAGUUCCAGCGACAACCAUAUCCUGUCCAUAGUAUUUGCGAAGUUAUUAUCAUGUACAACGAUAUUUUAUUUUGAGAACAGUAUAUUGGAGUUGAUCAGUUCAAGAUUCACAGUUGAAGUCUUCACAUAUUAUCUGUCUGAUGCUAAAGUUGCCAACUCUUUCCUUAAUGCAGCACAAUAACAAGCUUGCAGCUAAUAGUUCAGGACAUGAAUAUAUGAAUCUGAUUCAUCUAAUAUUUAUUUCUCAUCUGCCGGAAUAAUUCUUCAAUACAUUUACUACCCUAUUUUUAACUUCAAAUAGCAUUUGAUCCUCUUAUUAUGACUAAUAUCUCUAUAUGCCAACUUCUCAUCCGUAACAGGUAAGGAAAUUGACUAUUUGAAGGAAAAAAAGCAAACUUGAAACCAGCACCACAUCAAAUGAAAGGAAUUUUCCUAGCAGAAGAAUGUCAGGACAUGAAUUAACAAAUCUGAUUGUUCUGAAAUUUAUUUCCCAUAUACCAGAAUAAUUAUUCUAUAAAUUUACAAUCCUACUAUCUAUGUGAUAUCUCGUAACUUGAGCCGGGGGUCUUUCGGAAACAGCCUUUCUACUUCAUCAGAGGUAGAGGUAUGGACUGCGUACAUCUUACCCCCCCCAGACCCCACUAAGUGGGAAUACACUGGGUUUGUUGUUGUUGUUGUUGUAUUGCUAAAGUGGAUGAAAGUCCCACAUUGGUUGGGGAAUGAACCGGCAGUUUGCUUAUACAGACUUGGGCAAUCCUCCCUCAUAAGCUAGCUUUUAAGGUUGAGUUAGGCCCAGCUACCAUAUGUUACAUGUUACCAGAGCCAGGUCCAUCCCUGUCCGGGCGCCCGGUCCACGCAUGGUGAAAGUCCCACAUUGAUUGGGGAAUUGACUAACAGUUUGCUUAUAUAGACUUGGGCAAUUCUCCUCUCAUGAGCUAGCUUUUGAGGUUGAGUUAGGCUCAGGUGUCAUAUCUUUAAAUGGUUGAAGUGGGUGAAAGUCUCAUAUUGGUUAGGGAAUGGACUGGCAGUUUGCUUAUAUGGACCCGGACAAUCUUUCUUUCAUGAGCUAAUUUUUGAGGUUGAGUUAGGCCUAGGUGCCAUCAUCAUGAUUAGGGUAAGUUAAUAAUUAAUUCAUAGAGAUAAGUGAAUAUGGUUGAAGACAAAUGCAAUCUUGGCUACCAAAUAAUAGUCAGGAUGACUAUGAUUGAUUUGAAGAUUGUGACUGGGAGGAGGAAGAUGAUUAGGGUAAGUUAAUAAUUAAUUCAUAGAGAUAAGUGAAUAUGGUUGAAGACAAAUGCAAUCUUGGCUACCAAAUAAUAGUAAGGAUGACUAUGAUUGAUUUGAAGCUUGUGACUGGGAGGAGGAAGAUUUCUUUUGAAAAAAAAAAUUUAGAAGGAAACAACCACAAUCACAUCUAAUGGAGUGCACAACAGACAAAACAUACCAUAAGUAAUGCUUUGAGUUCAGUCAUAGAUAGAGGCAUUUUGGCAUCUGUUUCAUCUUUCAACUUCAGCAAAACUUGCAAAAAGUCCUUGCUUCCAAGCCCAAUACCAGUUCCCAUCCCUUCAUUUCUAUCCAGUUUUUGUCUUUGAUCAAUCAUGCACUCAAAUAUCUUAUCAAAUCUAUUUGCCAACACCUUCAUCUUCUUUCUAAGACCCUGCAAAUCAAACCAGGCCAAUCUGGGGUAAAAAUCGGAAAGAUUGGGAAUGCUAACCAGCAUAGUCAAAUCAGAGACAGCAUGCCUAAACUCAGCUCCAAGACUAGCUUUUUCCUCACCCUUCACUGUGCCACCCCAUAACAUGCUUGUAAUCACAUUAAGCAUUGUCAAGAACAUCUGUUCACCAAUAUUCACAGGCGAUCCCGCCUGAUUAUAAAAGUAAUUGAUCGAUUGUCUUAGCUCCCGUCUCCUUAGUCCAUAAACAGAAUCUAAAGUAGAAGCACUAAGCAUAUCACGAACACAAACCUUCCUCAACAUGCGCCAUUUCGGUCCAUAAGGAAUCCAAACUAUGUCUUGGCCACCAUAUGAAGCUUCACUAGCAGUAGCAGGCAUAUCUCUGUUAGAAAAAAUGGUAUGUUGAUCCUUAAGCACCUCACGAGCUAAGGAAGGAGAAGUAAUAAUAACCACAAACUUCUUACCGAGCCAGAGUCUACAAAUGGGGCCGUAAGUUUGAGAAAGAGAAGCCAAAUAGGUGUGUAGUUCAGGAUUAAGAGAAAGGAGAUUGCCUAUCAAAGGCAAAGCUUUAGGCCCCGGUGGCAAUGGGGGUAGUCCCUUUUUUGACUUAUUAAUGAAAAGCCAAAGAAACCAUAGUAAAGCUAUAACACCAAGAAAACAGGAGAAAAAUACACCAUUUUGCUCAAUAUUGGGUUCUUGCCAUGGCCAUGGGAAAGAAUCAAACAGGGAUUUGAAGAAUUUGAGAGACAUUAUUUGAGCCUAAGAGGGAAUGGAAGAUGGCAGAAGCAAUGUGGUGGGAAGCUCAAAGCUUUUGCACCACUUAAAUAAGAAUUGAUUCCUGAAGGCACCACUUAAAGUUUCGAGCAACAUUAGGGUAAGGCAAAAGCGGUUGAAGGCAAAUCCAAUCUUGUGUACUCAGAAAUAAUGCGAUAGUGAGCAUAACAGGUUUGCACUUUGAACUGUCAAAAAGGAAGGUCAUUUGCUCCCAUAUUUGAACUCCUUAGAAUUUAGAGGGGACCAACCAAUAUUACAUCAAAAGAAAGUGACUUGUCCUAUAUAGUAGAAAAUGCACAUAGAUGACAUAACAUACCAUAAAAGGCAACUUCACCUAGAAAAAUUCAAUGCUUUAACACCAUAUGCUCACUUCAUUUCACUUGGCCCCUGUUCGGAAAAUAGAUUUUUUUCUUUUUAUUGGUCCAUUUUAGCAGAUCAAGAGAGUUAUGUUACUCUUUUCACAUACUACCCUUCCUAUUAACAUGAAGUAGUUAGCCUUAGUAUUAACAUAAAGUAGUAGUAGCCGAAUUUAGAGUUCCAAGACAUCAUUAAUAAAGUUAGUUUAGUAAAAUACAUCUCUAAUAAAAGUUCUCUUAAGGUUUGUGCCAAGUCAACAUCGGAGGGAGUAUAAAAAAGUAAAAUUCCAAGAAGAAUAAGAAUAUCUUGGAUAAGACAAAAAAGUGGCUCUUGAAAGUCUGCAGAACCACAAUAUGGAUAUAAACAUACCUCCUCAAUCCGACUGCUGCUUCAAACUUCAAAGCAAAAACAGUAAAACUAGUGUUGGUUCCAAUUUGUUUUUGUCAAAUGGUGCCACAUAAGUUAGGGAAGAGGGAGUAAUAUUGUUAUCUUACAAACACAAAAACUCAUCUCUGAUGUGCAUCAGGUAGUAUUAUAGAGGGAGUUAGAUGAUACUAUCAACAGAAGAGCAGCUGGAGAAGAAGAUUAUGGAAUGAAUCUAAUCAAAUACUAGCGGUUUAGGCACACUUAGUGGCAGGUCAUAUAUUCUUUUGUGUCAUUGUUAGAGUGGGUAAAAAGUCCCACCUUGGUUGGGGAAUGGACUAGUGGUUUGCUUAUAUGGACUUGGGCAAUCCUUUGAGGUUGAGUUAGGCCCAAGGUCCAAUCUUGACAUGUAAUAACUACACAGAAACCUGUGAAUUGAUUUCAAGUGGAUCCCAGUUACAGGGAACACAUUUUCAUAGUUGAUCAUACAAACGACAGAAGCAUCAUCUCUACAAACACAUAGCCUAUACUCAUAAUAAAAACACAAGAAAAAGGCAGGAAACUGGAGACAGCAAAUGUCAAAGGAGUUGUUGGAAAUUAACCAUUUCACAUGGAACUUUGAGUUGUCCAUAAGACCAUUGCCAGGAUAGAGCAACAUCUUUAUCUUACUCAUAGAGUGUCGGAUUAGAUAAUCUUGGAACAGGUAUAGCCACUAGAGGCACUUUCUUCUUCAAAACAAUACCAAACUUCUCCGUAAGAUCUAAUGUCUCUCCUUCAGGCAACUUCCAGUCGAAAGAAUGAAUGAGCGAAGCCAGUGAAUACAUGAACAUCCUCUCUGCCAUGGCUAUUCCCGCGCAGAUUCUUCUGCCAGAACCAAAUGGAAAGUAAUUGAAAUCAUUCCCACUAUAGUCCCAUUUAUCGUCCAAGAAUCUCUCCGGAAGGAACUCAGUAGGAUUUUCCCAGAUAGAAGGAUCUCUCUGUAUAGCCCACACAUUUAUGAAAAUACGAGAUCCUUUAGGAACAGUGUAUCCUUCCACAGUGCAUGUCUCACUAGGACAAUGUGGCACCAAGAGUGGAAGAGCUGGAUGUAUGCGCAAGACUUCUUUCAUAACUGCAUAGAGAAAAGGUAAUUGCUGAAUAUGAGACUCUUCCACAAUAUUAUCUUUUCCCACAACUGUCUCUAGUUCUUGUUGUAAUUUCCUCAAGACGUCUGGUCUGUUCAUAAUUUCAGCCAUGGCAAACUCAACUGUGUUGGCGGUUGUGUCAGUUCCACCAACAACCAUAUCCUGUUCAUGGUAUUCGUAAAGUUAUUAUCAAGUACAACAAUUUUUUAUUUGUAGAACUGUAUAUCGGAGUUCAGUUCAAGGUUCUCCGUUAAGUCUUUACAUAUUUUUUAACUUCUCCCAUUACCCUAAAAAAAAAAGGUCUUCACAUAUUUUAUGAUGCAAUUAAAGCUUUACGUAUUAUCUUAUGCUAAAUGACUAUUUCCUUAGUGCAGUCCAAUAAUAAGGUAGCAACCAACAGUUCAGAACAUGAAUAUAUGAAUCUGAUUCUUCUUAUAUUUAUUACUCAUCUACCACGAUAAUUCUUCAAUAUAUUUACAAUUGCAUAUCCUUUUAUAACGACUAGUAUCACUAUAAGCCAUUUUGCCAUCCAUAAGAGGCAAAGAAAUAGACAACAUAAAGUAAAAGGCAAACUUUAAAACCAGCACCACAUCUAAGGAAAGUGAAUUUUCCUAGUAGAAGAAAGCCAACAACAGCUCAGGACAUGAAUUUACAAAUCUGAUUCUUCUGAAAUUUAUUUCCCUUAUGGCCACAAUAAUUCUUCUACUCCCUCCGUUUCAAAUUUGUUUGUCUAACUUUUGUUUUAGUACGUUUAAAAAAAAGAAUGUUCCUUUCAUUGUAGGCAACUCUUUGAUUUCAACAUUCCACCUGACAUAUUAACACCACAAGAUUAAAGGGCGUUCCGUACGUUCUACAUAUCUUUAACACCACAAGAUUAAAGGACGUUCCGUACGUUCUACAUAUCUUGACUUUAACACCACAAGAUUUAAAAGUCAUCUUUACUUCCUUAAACUCUGUGUCAAGUUAAAACCAGACUGAAAAUUUACAAUCCCACCAUCUAAUUCAUUUGAUUUUGAUCCUUUUAACAUAAACAAGAAAAGAUCUGCCAUCAUGUUCAGAACAAGCUACAAUUAGCAACUAUUCAUCCAUAUAGAUAAGGUAUAAAUGGUUGAAAACAAAUACAAUAUUGGCCAUUCAAUAAUAAUUCAUUGAUGACUAUUGAUUUGAAGUUUGAAAACGGGGAGACAAAGAUUUCUUUUUGCUUGAUGUGGAAAAGAAAAUGUUUAGAUGGAAACAACCAACAUCACAUCUAAUAAAAGUGACAUUUACUAUAGUAGAGUAGAAUGCAUAAAAUUGAUAAAACAUACCAUAAGUAAGGCUUUGAUUUCAACCAUAGACAGAGGCAUUUUGGCAUCUGCUUCAUCUUUCAACUUCAGCAAAAUCUGCAAAAAGUCCUUGCUUCCUUGACCAACACCAUUUCCAAUCUCACCAUUUCUAUCCAAUUUUUGUCUUUUAUCAAUCAUGCUCUCAAAUAUCUCAUCAAAUCUCUUCGCCAACACUUUCAUCUUCUUUGUAACACCUUGUAAAUCAAGCCAUUCCAAGCCCGGGUAAAAAUCGGAAACAUUUGGAGUACCGAACAACUCAGUCAUCUCAGACACAGCAUGCCUAAACUCAGCUCCAAGACUAGCUCUUUCCUCACCCUUUACUGUACCACCCCAUAACAUGUUUGUAAUCACAUUAAGCACAGUCAAGAACAUCUGUUCACCCAUAUUCACUGACAAUCCCUUCUGAUUAUAGAAGUAGCUAAUCGUCUGUCUAAGUUCCUUUCGCCUUAAAGCAUAUACAUAAUCUAAAGUAGAACCACUAAGCAUAUCCCGAACACAGACUUUCCUCAACAUACGCCAUUUCGGUCCAUAAGGAGUCCAUGUUAUGUCUUUGCCACCAUAUGUAGCUUCUCUACCGGCAGCAGUUACAUCUCUGUUAGCAAAUAUGGUAUCUUGAUCCUUAAGCACCUCGCGAGCUAUCGCAGGAGAAGUAAUAACAAUACCAACUUUUCUACCAAGCCAGAGUGAACAAAUGGGGCCAUAAGUUUUGGAUAGAGAUGCAAAAUAUAUGUGGAGUUCAGGAUCAAGAGAAUGGAGAUUGCCUAUCAAAGGCAAAGGUUUAGGUCCUGGUGGCAAUGGUGGUGGUUGUCCAUUUUUUGACUUGUUGAUGAGAAGCCAAAGGAAGUAUAGUAAAGCUAAAAGGCCAAGAAAAUAGGAAAAUAAGACACCCUUUUGCUCAAUAUUGAGUUCUUGAAGGGGCCAUGGGAAAGAAUCAAAGAGUGGUAUGAAGAAUUUGAGAGACAUCAAUUGAGGUCAAUGGAAAGUGGGAGAAGCAAUGUGGUGGGAAAGUUGAACCUUUUGCCAUCAUUAUAUAGAAAAUUGAAUUUUCCUUUUUGAUUCUUCGCCUGGUGUUAAGUACGUGUGUUCAAGUUUGAUUAAAUUCGAACCCAGUUGCAAAGUCUCACCUCAAACUGUCAGAGGAUAAAUCUCUUUCUAACGAAGACAACUCUAUAUUCAUAAAAACUUACGUAUUAAAAAUGAAAGAUUUGGUACCACUAUACUUUAUUCUUAUUGGUUGGAAAUUUAACUUUAGUGAAGGAAUGAGAUAUUUCUCGAUGCACACAAAAGUUGGUCGGCUGACCCAUCGAAUAUACUCCUUCCGUCUCAAAUUACUCAUUUCAAAUUAAUUAAAAAAGAUAAUUAAUAAUAUAACUAAUUUAUCAUAAUAUCCUAUUAAAUGAUUUUUAUAUUUUAAUUUGAAGAAAAAGUAAUUAAUGCAAAAGACAAAACAUGAAGAAAAAAAAAUUAUCUCUUCUUAAUUAAUGAAAAAUAAUAAGUAAAAUGAAAUAUCAAAUUAGAAAAUAUGGGACGGAUAAUUUAAGAAGGAGGGAGUAGUAAACCAAGCACAUAUCACCCCCGUCCCAUAAGUAUAGUGUUAAAUAGUACUACGUAUUAAUGAAGGGGAGCCUUGGAGUAACUGGUAAAGCUAUUGUCAUGUGACCAGAAGGUCACGGGUUUAAGUCUUGGAAAUAGCCUCUGACAGAAAUCGUACAUACUUCCCCGAAUACCGCGCAUAGCACUAGAUUUAGUGCACUGAGCUGUCCUUUUUUAGUACUAAAUAUUAAUAAUAUUAAGAGCUUAGUUAUAUUAAAAAAUAAAUUACUAUUAUUUAAUUUAAUGUAUUAAAAAUAAUUAUAUUUUAAAUUUUGUGUACUCAUAUUUUAAUAAUUUUUGUAUUAUAAGUAUAAUAAUUUGCUAUAAUAGCGCUCCCAACAGAGUUUUUCUUUAUGCUCAGGAUCCUCGAUCUCUAAUUAAGGGUGAAGCAGUUACAUUUACUGCACCACAAUCCAUGUUGGUAAUUAUAUAUCUUAUAGUAUUGAAUAAAAAUAUAUAGUUAUAUAUAGAUUGAAAAUCCUAAUGUCUUACUAAAUGACCCCUUGCAGUGUUGCUUCAGUUUUAUUUACCAUGUAAUCCCGUAAAAAUAUACUUAUUAUAUCACAAUUUAAUACAUAAUCAUCUGAUAAUCUUAUAAGAUAUUUUAUUUAGAGAUUGACUAAGUCAUGUUUCAACUUUCAAAUUACCUCACUUUUAAGUGUUUCAAUUAAAUACUUUUCAAUUCAAAUUUUGAAAUGUGCAUUUACAUUUUUUAUUUGUCUAUUAGUUAAUUGAGCUAAUCCUGUAAAUUAUAUCACUAAUUAAUGUUGAUUCAUGUAAUUAAAUGAGAUGACACAUUUUAUAUAAUUAAUUUAACUACGAUGAAUGAAAACACAUCCAGAAAAAAAAAAUUCUUAAUUAGAAGCAAAAGUAUCUAAUUGGGACAGUUAUUAGAAGUUGAAGUGUUGGAUUAAAACACGACAUAGUUGAAGUGUCAAAAUACAAUAUCCUCACAAAUUUAGAAAAUUGAUUAUGUAUUAAGUCUUACAUCAAUUUAUAAAUUAAAAUAUAAUAAAUUAGUGCAUACUACUACUCCUAUUGUUUUGUGGUAUUUCUCCCCUAUCUAUCUAAGUUGUCAACUUCCAAAGUGAAUAUGGGUUAUUUAUGGAUUCUUUGAAAUUUUAGUAGCUUUUGUUGAAGUUCUAUUUAUAAUAAGAAAAAUUUACUAAAGAAGUAAAAAUAAUAAAUUUCGUAAGUAUUCAAUAAAUUUAAUGCCAAUAGUAGAAUCUCAAAAUUGAAGUUAUAAAUUAAAAUUAUGAAUUCGCCUUCGUCAGAGUUGUUCUCAUGGAAAGAGGCCUAACUUAUUCGUAAACCACAUAUAAUGUUCUUUGUUUUUUUCCUAUUGAAUGUGACUGUUGCCGUUUAUGAAACGCCAUUGAUUUGAGGACGUACAGAACAAGUUAUUCAUCCAAGAAAUUGUUUUUAAUAAGAAAAAGAUGCAAGUUGAUUCACCGAGGGUGGUUUGGUAGAAUGUAUUAGAAAAUAUAAUGCAUGUAUUAGUUAAUGUGUAUUAGUAGUAUCUUAUUUGAUACGUCUUUUUGUCUAUGUAUAACUAAUACAAAUAUUAGUUAUACACUCUAUUAUGUAUUAAAGUGUGUAUUAGCAAUAUACUUCAUUUCCUAUGUAUUAGUAAUAUAAAGACUUUUAACACAUACAUUAACUUAUUAAAUGAUCUUAACACCCCUCAAUUUUCCUCUCAAAAUAUUUCACAAUUUCUUUUCCUGCUAUUUUAAUUUUCAACAGUGAAUUUUCUCAAAAUAUUUCAUAAUUUUUUUCCCAUCAUUUUAAUUUACAACAAUGAAUAGUUGAUUUAAAUAACCGUAACAUAUUUUUGCUUUGCUUCGAGGGUCUUUAAAAGGAUUGAAAAAAAUUCUUCAGACUAUUCGUUAAUUUUACAUCUUGUAUUUUAUUUUUGUUUUGACUAUGUUAAUCCGUCGUCGGUGUAACAUUCUAUGCGCAAAGACGAAAGUCUUGCAAUUAAUCCUAAAUCUUCAUAUACUAGUUCAACAAUACUAAUUAUGUUUAAGAUAGCAAAAGAACUUUGUUGCAAAAAAAGUAUACAAAGUUAAAGAAGCGUAUUUUCAUAAACAAACACUUAUUUUAUAGAAAUUAUGUAAGAUAUAUUAUUUCUUAUACAUCAAACCAACAAAUGUAUAAGAAAUAAUACAUGCAUAAUUAAUACAAGUCUAAUGCAAACAUUAUUAAUGCAAGCGUUACUAAUACACUAUAUUUUGCAUUGUUUUUAUAUACUCUACCAAACGACUCCAAAAGAUAAGGUGUGUGUUUGGUAUGAAGGAAAACAUUUUCCAGAAAAUAUUUUCCAAUUUUCUCAUGUUUGGUUGGCUUAAAGAUUUUGGAAAAUAUUUUUCAAAUCUACUUAUUUUCCUCAAUUCUAAGGAAAAUGACUUCCCUUCAAAAAGUAAGGAAAACAAUUUUUAAAAUUCUCUUUCAAUCUCACUCGUUGAAGUAUUCAUACAACUCUCAAAAUCAUUCAUCCCUAUUCCGACCCUCAAUCCCCCUCCCCCAUCCACCCCGCCCCCUACCACCCCUACUAAAAAAAUAUUUUAAAUUUUUUUCUUACCUCACCCCCUACCCAAAACCCUAGCUCCUUUAAAAAAAAAAUUACAUUUUUUAAAAAAAUUCAAACUUUUUUCUUACCUCUCCUCCUCCCCCCAUCAAAAAAAUUAAUUUUUGGAAAAAUUUCAAUUUUUUCCUCCUCCCCAUUCAAAAUAAAUAUUUCAAAUUUUUUUCUUACCCUACUCUUACUCCCCUACCCCCACCCCCUACUAGCCCCCAACCCUCCAAAAAAAUUAAUUUGUUUUUUAAAAAAUCAAAAUUAUUUUUUUACCUCACCCUUAUUACCUAUUUUGGCAACCCCAACCCUAAUACGGGUACGAUCAUGAUCGGGGUCCAAUUCGUCAACACUCGAGCUUGGGGGGCUGCCCAUCCAAGGAACAAGUUUUGAAGUGUAGAGAACAAGUCCCACAAGCUCCAAAAUUGUUCACUGUUCAUCCGAGUUCACUGUUCAUCCCCUCUUUGCAAGGGUUUUUUAGUCAUUUGUAAUAAGUUAACCUAGGUAUAAAUAGAACCCCAUUAGGUCAUUUUUGGAAAAUUUUUUGAAGAAUAUAUUUUGUAGCCUCUUGAGAGUCUUUAGCAAAGUGGAAUCCUUGUGUUGAUCAUUUGCUUAGAAAUGGAGAUUGCUUGGGAAUUUCGGUUCCCUUGAGGUCACGUAAGAGAUAGGUUUAGGUUGUGUGUGAUAUUAAAGAUCCAAAAGUGGAAUAAGCUUUUGGGUUGUUAAUAUUAUACCAUCCCUUUGUCUAUCUAUCUAUCUUUACUUUCUUGUAAUCGUUUGUCUAUAUCUAGUGUAAUUCGUUUGUGUAACCGUGUGUUGUUGUUAUUGCAUCUUGCCCAUCAAGUGUUGUUGUUGUUUUAGUGUGUUUUACUUUUGAUAUCACUUCCCUUCUUGUUCUUCUUGUGAAUCCGAGAGAGGUCACCAAAAGGGUCCAUAGUUCUUGAAUUAGUGGACUGUUUUUGGAUUGUGUUUGGACUGUUUUGAGUCAAUUUCGUGUGUUCCUUGGUUUUCUUGUAUCAUUUGGUAUCAAAGCAAGGAUGGUUGUGUUCCUACACUACCAAUCUUGGGUUUUCUUGGACGAAAAUUCAAAAAGAAAAAAAAACUGAAAACUGAAAAAAAAAUCCAGAAAAGUGCAAUUCUGGCCAUUUUGUGUUCUUGGUCGAAAAUUGUGUUGUUGUUAUCUUGGCCAAGAUUUGUUUAUUUUGUGUCUAAAACUUAAAGUCUUUUGUUUGUUUAGAGUGUUUCUAGUGUUGGUUUCUUUCUCAUCAACACUAAAAAGUGUCCAAAUUUAAGAUUGAACUUGAACUUAUUGAAGUUGUUGAUGUGAACAAGGUGUGGCCGAGUUGGAUGUUGUUGUUACCUAAAUCUUGGCCGAUUUGAUGGUCUUGUUAUAGUGGAGUUGGAAACUGAAAUUGUUUUUGUUCUUGAAGUUGUUGUUGUGUUCUUAAGGUUCUUCACCCUUUCAUCAUCUUGUUAAUCCUUAAAGUGCAAAUUAGAUCUAAAAAGGUGAAAGACAAGCUUGUAGUAGUUGUUAGUGAAAGACUUGUCCCUACCACUUCAAAGACUUUUCAUCUACUUUUCCUUGAUUUAAGGACCUUGUUUCAAGGAGAAAGUUAAAAGAAGUCAAGUUUAGCUUUUGAAAUUUGAACAAAAAGGCUCCAAGACCACUUUUCCCUCCAUUAACCAAAUCCACCAAUUCCAAAUUUUAUAUUGAUCAACACUUGAAAUUGGGAAAUAAAAUUUUGAUAAAACUCGAGGCCAAUAGUGGACUGCCACGUCACUAAAGUACUGUUCACGCAACAUUUUUGAGUUCAAAUUUUAGAUUUCUUAGUUUCAUUUUAUUGUUUUCUAGUUUUGUUUAUUUGCUCGACACUAAUUGACAACCUAGUAAUAUACUACUAGCUUGUAAGUUAGUUUUGUGUAUGUUCUUCGUGUUAACGUUAUUUGUUGUGUGUUUUUCUCGUUUUUGAUUCAUAGUAUCUUUUUUGGUUCAAGUUCGUACAUUACUUAUUUGAGUCAUUUCAAACAAGAAUCUACUCCGACCUCAAGCCACAAUUGGGACCAAGUAACCUCAUUGGAGUAUAAGCGAGUUAUCAACACUUGUAAGGCCAAUAGAGUCAAAAAUCCAAAGUGUAAAAGUGAGGGAUUAUGGACUAUUUUGAGGCGCAUUGUGGACUGUUUUGUGACGAAUUGUGGACUAAUUUUUGAUAAUCUUUAAUGUGUUUGUUGUUUUCGUGUUGUUUGCUUAGUAGCUCUUGAUGGGUACAAUGACGAAUGAAGUUGAAAUGCCUAGUUGGGUUAAAUCCACCAUGGCAAGGCUUGAUGCCAUAGAUAGGCCAAUAAUGGACAGAAUGGAAGGAAUAUUGGAAGGGACGGAAGGCUCUCUGUGCAAGAAGUUGGAUAACUUGAUGGAGCAUCCAAGCCUUCCUAAUCAAAUUCCCGUGAGUGGCCAUGCUCCACAUGAGCUACAAGGUAAUCAAACUAACUUUUGCACUCUAGUGAAUGAGGAUAAUAGCCAACUAAGUGUAAAUAAUAAUUUAUCUUUAAGUGAGUCGAAUGUGCCUUCAUUUUGUGAUGAUAAUGUACAACUUAAGAUUGUGGAUACACUAGUUGAUUCACCUAGUGUUAAAGCCAUUGUGGAAAGUGGUAGUAUAUUGUCUUAUGAAAGUCAUGAAGACCAACUUGUGUGUGAAAAUGAUGAUGUUGAACAUGUUGGCCGAAUGACUAAGAAUGACCCUCUAGUUGUUUUUGUUAUUGACCAUGAUAGUAUAGAGGGGAAAUUUGAUCUUUAUUGUAGUAGUAUUGGGGUAAGGAAGUGUAUUCCCAACCCGUGCCCAUGAACACUCUACCCAUUUGAUUUCAGUGAUCAUUUGAAGUGUAGUGAUGAGGAUGUCUUUUGGAAUGACUUAAAUGUGCAUCGAAUGUAUGGCUUUCCUCUCUCGGCUUUCAAGUCUAAUUGUUGUUACAAGAAGAGUCUAUGUUUUUCACUUGAUAAGCGGCGCUUGGUCCUUAUUUCUUGUCAUACUUAUGUAGAUAAACUAGUUGAUUCUCCCUUGGUAGGGUAUUCGGGUAAGAGGGAUGUUUAGGUAUAUAUGAAGUUUGAGCCACCUUGGCAAGAUACUAUGAUUGAUUACACUAAUCCUAACCCUCAUACCUUGAGGAACUUUUGUUUGCUUGUCCUUUCAUUGCUUUGCAAGAUUUGGAUUUGAGGACGAAUCCUUUCUAAGGAAGGGAGGAUGAUAUGGGUACGAUCAUGAUCGGGGUUCAAUUCGUCAAGACUCGAGCUUGGGGGGCUUCCCAUCCAAGGAAUAAGCUUUGAAGUGUAGAGAACAAGUCUCACAAGCUCCAAAACUGUUCACUGUUCAUCCGCGUUCACUAUUCAUCUGCCCUUUGCAAGGAUUUUUUAGUCAUUUGUAAUAAGUUAACCUAGGUAUAAAUAGAACCUCAUUAGGUUAUUUUUGGGAGAUUUUUUGGAGAAUAUAUUUUGUAGCCUCUUUGAGAGUUUUUAGCAAAGUGGAAUCCUUGUGUUGAUCAUUUGCUUAGAAACGGAGAUUGCUUGAGAAUUUUGGUUCCCUUGAGGUCACGUAAGAGAUAGGUUUAGGUUGUGUGUGAUAUUAAAGAUCCAAAAGUGGAAUAAGCUUUUGGGUUUUUAAUAUUAUACCCUCCCUUUGUCUAUCUAUCUAUCUUUACUUUCUUGUAAUCGUUUGUCUUUAUCUAGUGUAAUCCGUUUGUGUUCUUGUCUUGUAACCGUGUGUUGUUGUUAUUGCAUCUUGUUCAUCAAGUAUUGUUGCUAUUUUAGUGUGUUUUACUCUUGAUAUCACUUCCCUUCUUGUUCUUCUUGUGAAUCCGAGAGAGGUUAUCAAAAGGGUCCAUAGUUCUUAAACUAGUGGACUGAUUUUGGUGUUUGUGUUGUUGUGUUCUUGGGGAGUUUGAUAUCAUCAAUCACGGAAUAAUCACGGAAAUAGAUUUAUGUGGGUGUGAAUUGAAAGCUACCAAGUGUAUGUGCAAGAGAAGUGUAAUUAAAGACCCAAAUACACACCAAAACAGCUCACUCCAUACACUAGAGGGGCAACCCAUUCUUGAAGGGCCUUUUGGUCAUUUUAACUUCUAUUUGUUUUGUAAUAUAUAAGGAACAUGUAGGGUUUUAUUUACUUAGUUUAUGAAUGAAGUUGUAAGUCUUACAAGACAAAGAAACACAAGUCCUCUUUCCUUGAGGCACCCAAAAUCGAAAUUAAGGCUUAGAUAAGUGUAGAUACACUUGUGUUUGCAUUUGCUUGGAAACAUUGAUGCUUGGGAGGUGGAUUCCGACCUUGUGUCUUUGUAAGAGAUAAGUUUACUGUUGUGUGUAGUGUUAAGGGUCCAAGAGUUACCAUUCUUGGGUUCUUAACAUUAUACCUUCAUGUGGUUUAUCUAUCCUUUUUCUUUUGUAAUCUUGUAUCCAUUUUGUAUCUUGUAUUAUGAAGCUGUUUUUGUUGUUGUUCUUCUCAUUGUUGUUUCAUCUUGUGUUGUUAACUUAGUUUGUUGUUGGCUGCAAAAGGUGUCAAACACCUAGUUAUAUUGUCCUUCUUGUAUUUCAUUCUUGAAUCCGAGAGUGGUCUUCAAAAGGAUUCUUUGAAUUAGUGGACUAUUUUUGGAGUGUGUUUAGACUGUUUUGAGCCAAUUUCGUAUGUUUCUUGGUUCUCUUGUAUCAAACCCCCUCUCCAAAAAAAUUAAUAUUUUAAUUUAUUUUUUAAAAUAAAUUCAAAACUUUUUCUUAUCCCACAUUUUUUAUCCUAUUCGUUCUCAUUAUUUUUGUUAAAUAUAUACAAAUACUUUUAGAAAACAUAUACUUAUCCAAUUUGCAUAACGAUCAGAUGAAUAUAAGUAAGAAAUAACUUAUUUUUCUAGAAAAUAUUUUUCCUCAUUCAUAUAGAACGCACCCUAAAAAUGUAUUUUUACGCUUUAGCUAAACAAUAAAAUGUAUGUUUUGAAAAAUAUUUUUUCAUUCACCAAUCAAACACUAUAAAAUAUUUUCCAAAAAAUAUUUUUCAUCCACCAACCAAAAAUAGAAAAAUAAGUAAGAAAUCAACUUGUUUUCCAAAAAAAUAUUUUCUAGGAAAACAUUUUCUAUGCAAAACAUUUUUCUUCAUACCAAACAAAGAAAAAACUAAACUACCACAUGUAGGUAGUUGAAGAUAAGUACCAAGUAACAUUAGGAUAAUUUGGUACCAUGUAUUAAUUAAAAUAGUUUAUGUAUUAAAAUUUAGUUCAAUCUAAUAAAUGAUUUGAUUGGACAACUUAAUUUAAUCCCUCUUUAUAUAUUGGAUAACUAUAUAUUAUAGGGUGUACUAUCUUAUAUGGAGGAAAUGUAGGAGUUAUUUAUACGGGUCAAUUGAUACAUGGAUGAAAGAAUUAAAUGAGAUAUUAUCUCUUAAUUCCUUUUAGGAUAAAGGAACUAAAUAAAGAAGGCACCUUUUCUGCUCUUUCGCGGGAUUUUUCUCUUCUUUGGAGAUGGAAAAGGUGUAGCCAUUAGUCUCCAACUAUUUGUUUUUCUUACAAAGUUGAAACUUUUAUCAAGGUAUUCUUAGUUUCUUUCAUUUUUGUUCUUGAAAUUAAAGUAGUAUUCUCUGUAUUGAAACUUUGCUGUGUUUAAAUUUUCUGGAUUUUUGCUGAUAUUAUUUGUAUUGAUUUUGUGACAAAAUUAGGUACUAUUAUUAUGGACUAUCUAAUACUGAUUAUAUCAUUUGCAUUUUUAUGGCUAUUCAUGGUCAUUCGCUAAGAAGACGAUACAAAAAUGCCGCUGAGGAAAUUCAAAAGAAUCAAUGUCCAGAACUUUUUAAUGUCGUGACUAUGGGAUUUUCUAUUGAUGAAGAGGACGAUGCUAUUGCUAGCCAUAGACCAAAUGCGGCUACUGGAGAACCUGAAAAUACUACUGGACCUACUGCAUUUACCGGAGCAUCUGACAAUGAAAAUGCUGGAGCAUUUGAAGCUGGAUCCCAACAAGCCAACACACAAGGUGAGUAUACUAGAUCAUCUAAUGUCGACGAAAAGGAGAAAUGCAAGAAAAGAAAAAGAAUAGCGGAGAAUGAUAAUGAGACAUUUCGUAAAGGUAUGAUGGAGGUUAUAUGAAGUUUUACUGAAAGUCAUGAAAAACGAAUGAGUGCCUUAAUUGAAAAGAUUGGGGAUCGUGACCAAUCCAAUCUUCGUGGUCAAAUUUAUUCCAUCAUUGAAUCUCCCAUAUUUGAGUUGUACUCAACAGAGCAACGCAUCAAAGAAACAAUGGUCCUUUGUGAUGAUGUCAAAAAGAUGGAAUUGUUCAUUCGUAUGGAUGAACUUGAACGUCAGACUAUGAUGUUUAUGAUUAUCAAUGAUAAACUUUAGAGCAUGAUAGACGUGUGUAUAAGUGAUGGCUCUAUUUUGAUAGUUUUUGCUAAACUCAUGAAAACCUUGGAAGGUUUAAUUGUAGUGUCCAUUUUGAUACCUCGGAUUACGUCCUAUCUUGACUAUGAAUAGGAUUGGUGUAUGGGCACGAGGAUUACAAUUUUUGUAUAACUAGUAUCUAUGGAAAAACUUGAAUGUGGUUGCACUUGUGAUAAACUCAAAUGAUGUAUGUAAAUGUAAUUAUGAAGUUUGCAUAAUAUUGUAUCUUUUGUCAAUUGGUGUAUUUGCUUGAGUUUAGGGACAGAUUGAAAGGUCCCAUUUCAAUAUUAUGCCAAAGUUCAUUAUCGGGGACAGUAGAUUUUUAGUUGCACAGAAUCACAGAGAAUAAUUUGGUGAAUGAAAACGAGAGAUAUGAUUAUACUAAGCUACAUCCGAUUCUAUUAGCCAUAGCUCAUGCUUUUCCACCAAUGUCGACUCUUCUGCACCAUCCUAUGUCACCAGUCCAUCCCAUUAUAAUGUCAAAAUCGACCAUUUCUAAUUCAAUCAAUUCAGCUAUAGUGCCUCCGUGAUACACCAUAACUGCACAACCUCAAAAGGCUGUUCACAUAUCUAUCAGAGAAAUGGCAACCAUAUCUUCUCUGUAGAAGCAGUAACUAAACAAGGAAUGGCGUAAGAGUCCUUUUUGUCAUUUAUGUACUCCAAAUACAGCAUUACAUGUAUUAAUGUCCAAAUACAAUUCAGUAUAAAAUGACAAAGGAGUUUUUGGAAAUUAACCAUUUCACAUGGAACUUUGAGUUGUUCAUAAGACCAUUGCCAGGAUAGAG
rnacentral:lncRNA from 1 species